UACGAAGGGGGCUAGCGUUGCUCGGAAUCACUGGGCGUAAAGCGCACGUAGGCGGAUUGUUAAGUCAGGGGUGAAAUCCUGGAGCUCAACUCCAGAACUGCCUUUGAUACUGAAGAUCUUGAGUUCGGGAGAGGUGAGUGGAACUGCGAGUGUAGAGGUGAAAUUCGUAGAUAUUCGCAAAGAACACCAGUGGCGAAGGCGGCUCACUGGCCCGAUACUGACGCUGAGGC
rnacentral:rRNA from 1 species